UACGUAGGGUGCGAGCGUUGUCCGGAAUUAUUGGGCGUAAAGAGCUUGUAGGCGGUUUGUCGCGUCAGCUGUGAAAAACCCGCAGCUCAACUGUGGGCUUGCAGCUGAUACGGGCAGGCUAGAGUCGGCAGGGGAGACUGGAAUCCUGGUGUAGCGGUGAAAUGCGCAGAUAUCAGGAGGAACACCGGUGGCGAAGGCGGGGUCUCUGGGGCCGAUACUGACACUGAGGAGCGAAAGCGUGGGGGAGCGAACAGG
rnacentral:rRNA from 1 species